GUCAAAUUUUUGGGACUUUUGAGCUGAAAAAUGAAGGAAAACAUCUGCAAAGGUAUGAAGCUGAGCAUUUGUUCUUCCAUGAUUGUAUACAUGAAGUUUGAAAUUCCAUGUUAAGCUCCAUGUGAUUAGCAUGUUCUGCAACAUUCUUAUUUAAAUCUGUUUCGUGCAUUACUGUACUUUAAACACAUUAUUAUUGUAUUGAAAUAAUACAUGAUGACAGUCAUGGUAUGAAGUUAUCAAAUGGAAUUGUGAUUUAGCUUGUUUGCCUCCCUAUUCUAUGAUGGAGUAUAUUGUGCUUAUGAUUCUCCACGAAGAAUAAUUUAAGAUUUUUUGUAUAAUUGAUUUUCCAUUAGUCAUGAACAAGUUUGUGGUGUUAGUCAGGUGAUAAGAGCAAUUAAAACUUGCUAGAUAGGAUUUUGAAACUGAAAUUGUAUAAAUAUAUGUGUACCCAUAUUUUGUUCGUUAAGUUUGGUAGGAUUACAUCAAUUGUGGCUAGGAUCAUUUGCCUUUGUAAUAGUUCAAGCUUAAAGUGCGAUUUUUCUCUUUGAUUAGCGUUUUAAUUGUCAAAUAUUUAGCCAGAUUUGUAAUUAUACUAUGCUGUAAUUUAUUGGCCGGUGA